UACGUAGGGGGCAAGCGUUGUCCGGAAUCAUUGGGCGUAAAGAGCGCGUAGGCGGUCCGGUAAGUCCGCUCUGAAAGCCCGGGGCUCAACCCCGGGAGGCGGGCGGAUACUGUCGGGCUAGAGUCCGGAAGAGGCGAGUGGAAUUCCUGGUGUAGCGGUGAAAAUGCGCAGAUAUCAGGAGGAACACCGAUGGCGAAGGCAGCUCGCUGGGACGGUACUGACGCUGAGGCGCGAAAGCGUGGGGAGCGAACAGG
rnacentral:rRNA from 1 species